rnacentral:misc_RNA from 1 species
GAUGAAGAACGCAGCGAAAUGCGAUAAGUAAUGUGAAUUGCAGAAUUCCGUGAAUCAUCGAAUCUUUGAACGCACAUUGCGCCCCUUGGUAUCCCGAGGGGCAUGCCUGUUCGAGCGUCAUUUCACCACUCAAGCCUGGCUUGGUGUUGGGCGACGUCCCCUUUAGGGACGCGCCUCGAAACGCUCGGCGGCGUGGCACCGGCUUUAAGCGUAGCAGAAUCUUUCGCUUUGGAAGUCGGGGCCCCGCCUGCCGGAAUACCUACCCGUAAGGUUGACCUCGGAUCAGGCAGGGAUACCCGCUGAACUUAAGCAUAUCAAUAAGCGGAGGA